rnacentral:rRNA from 1 species
CAAGUCGAACGCGAAAGGGGCUUCGGCCCUGAGUAGAGUGGCGAACGGGUGAGUAACGCGUGGGUGACCUACCUUCGAGUGGGGGAUAACGUCCCGAAAGGGACGCUAAUACCGCAUGACAUCCUGCCCUUGAAUGGGUGGAGAUCAAAGCCGGGGAUCGCAAGACCUGGCGCUUGGAGAGGGGCCCGCGUCCGAUUAGCUAGUUGGUGGGGUAAUGGCUCACCAAGGCAACGAUCGGUAGCCGGCCUGAGAGGGCGGACGGCCACACUGGGACUGAGACACGGCCCAGACUCCUACGGGAGGCAGCAGUGGGGAAUUGUUCACAAUGGGCGCAAGCCUGAUGACGCAACGCCGCGUGGAGGAUGAAGGUCUUCGGAUUGUAAACUCCUGUUGCUCGGGAAGAAAAGCUCCGACCUAACACGUCGGAGUCUGACGGUACCGGGUGAGGAAGCCCCGGCUAACUCUGUGCCAGCAGCCGCGGUAAUACAGAGGGGGCAAGCGUUGUUCGGAAUUACUGGGCGUAAAGGGCGCGUAGGCGGCCUGUUAAGUCGAACGUGAAAUCCCCGGGCUCAACCCGGGAACUGCGUCCGAUACUGGCAGGCUUGAAUUCGGGAGAGGGAUGUGGAAUUCCAGGUGUAGCGGUGAAAUGCGUAGAUAUCUGGAGGAACACCGGUGGCGAAGGCGGCAUCCUGGACCGAUAUUGACGCUGAUGCGCGAAAGCCAGGGGAGCAAACGGGAUUAGAUACCCCGGUAGUCCUGGCCCUAAACGAUGAAUGCUUGGUGUGGCGGGUAUCGAUCCCUGCCGUGCCGAAGCUAACGCAUUAAGCAUUCCGCCUGGGGAGUACGGUCGCAAGGCUGAAACU